CAACGUGACUAACCUGUCCCAGGUGGGGGGACGAACCUGAGGAAACUCGGGCUAAUACCGCAUGACGUCUCGUUGUCGCAUGGCAGUGAGAUCAAAGAGGGCCUCUACAUGUAAGCUCUCGCCCAGGGAGGGGGUCGCGGCGUAUCAGCUUGUUGGUGGGGUAAUGGCCUACCAAGGCUACGACGCGUAGCGGGUCUGAGAGGACGACCCGUCACAUUGGGACUGAGAUACGGCCCAG
rnacentral:rRNA from 1 species